CGGGGUGUGGCGCAUCGGUAGCGCGCGCCGUUCGGGUCGGCGAGGCAGCAGGUUCAAUUCCUGUCACCCCGA
rnacentral:tRNA from 1 species